rnacentral:lncRNA from 1 species
ACCUUAACUGAUAUCUGCAAGAAGCAAUCAGAUGAAUACAUUGGCCCAUAUGUUAGAACUUAGAUACCUGACUACUGUUUAAGGAUGAGAAAAUAACAGCUAAGAACCAAGAUUGUGAAUAAGAUGAACUCCAAUUAUAAUAUGGAGUCAGAAGGGGAAAAGAAAACCAGGAUUAAAUAGCUUUGCAAAAUGAACCGUCUAUGAACCUAAAAGCAACCCUUUGUCUGUAAAGUAGCAGAAUU